AUGCAUCUGCUGAAGCACAAAGUGAAGUCUUGGAAACUACAUCACAAUUUCAAAGAAGAAAACAAAAAUAGACCCGAGCGUGUGAUGUGGGCCGUUAGGAGGUUGGCUGGCUGGACUGGAGGCCACCGUGUUGGAGAACUGGCAGUGCGACUCAGUCCACAGGUGUGGAGGGAUUUUUCUUUAAGGGUCCUCUUCUCAGCACCAAGCACCUGCAACUUAGAGAUAUCAUGACAAACAUCUUUUCCAGGAACUCUCAGAUCUACCCACAACAACUUAUAUCAGACAUAUCAACAGAUCCCCAUCUGAAAUUUGUGAUAGAAACUGAAGGACGUGCUUACUACCUGAAAAAUGUACUCGGAGUACCUGGGUACAAGGGAACUUCUGCAAAAAACUUAAAAGUCAAAAUCAAACAUCAUGGGGAGAAAUGAGUGGAAAAGACACCCAGAAUACAGGGGAACUUUGCAGAACACUGAAGUCCCAAAAUGAGUGGAAUGGGAGAUAUCAUUUAUUGUUCUAUAAUGAUGCGGCUCUAGUGAUUAUGGCACCUUGAAAAUAAAGCUAUGUCUCCUGAAAGAUCAAUUUAUUUGUUUGAAUUCAGAACUAAACAGAUACAAAAUUGCUGUUUUUCAAAUGGCUUUCUACUUGCCUAGAAUCAGGACAAAAGUUUGCAAAACUAUUGGAUCAUUUUCAUUACAUAAGUAGAACAUGGAAAAAAAUGUUAACUCUCAUGCUAGAAAACCUUCCUCUAAUAUUUUUCUCUUGAAAAGAUUGGGAGAGAGAAAUUGUAAACGAAAUUACUCCCCUAGCUUGUUCUGUGUAAAUUGAAAUCCUUCAGAAUCCAAGAGGGUAAUACAAGCAAUAGAAAAACACAAAGUAGUUUGAAUGCUGUGUUCACUUCUACAUUUGAGCAAAGUCUCAAUAGGUAAAACUCAAUCAUCAUUUCGGUUUGUUUUUUCUCUUUUCCCCUCUGGAGGCUGAUACCAUCAACUCAUCCUCUAGAAUCAAACUCAAAUAUGCUGAAAACUUUUUUGAUUUUUCACGUUCUUGUUCUCUUAUGCACUGUGUCCUUUCCUCUUCCUGGAAGCAGGAAAUUGUGGAGAGAAAAUAAAAAGUCACACAUUUCAAACUUUCACCCACACACUUCCCAAAAGAAAGAGAAGAGAAAGAUUUAAGUCAAAGACACCAGAAGCUGUCAACAGCUAUGCUGCUGGAGAAACAGUUGUACAAAGAAGAAAGGUCAUCUACAAGAAAGUUAAAGUAAGAACCAUCAUCUGUAAGUGAAAUUGCUCUGGCAGAGGUAUUCUGACUUGUGGGAAAACUAUGAACAAAAUUGCCACUUGGAAGUGUAUGGGAAGGAAGAUACUGGUAAGGAGGAAAAGGGAUACAUUUGUAGGGAGGGGGAAAUGAAAGCAGAAAACUCCCCAGGAAUGUGCUUUUGCAUCUGGGAGAUAUGCUGGAAAAUUAGGCAGGAAAGAAGAGACCAGGCAGUCCAAGGAAGGUGCAGGCUGCCUUAGCCCCUUUGGGAGGAGAAGAGGGGCAAAUCUUUUUAUGAUUUUUGUCCCUUCUGAGACUUGGAAUAAUAAACUCAAGUCACCACCCGUCAGCCCCUGUCCAUCUUCUUUAGCAAACCUGACAUAGUGGAAGAAAUAUGACACGUGAAUUAUUAAAGAGGUGCUAGUUGACUUUUAACCCCGCUUGCUUUUCUCAGACCCCAUUACCUGCAAAUUUAUCUGGCAAUACACUGCAAGAAUUAUAGGGCGUGCAAGCCAGAAGAAGAGAAAAGAAAGCAGAUAUGGGAGGUCGGGAAAAUAUCAGGGAAAAGCCUGGCAUUUUACCUUACUAUUUGCUACACUUAAGGGUAUGGUUCACAUGUAUCAGGAAACAAACCAUUCUUCUAAGGGAUCAGUUUCGCUGUCCAAGAAGCCAGAAGGGAAAGAAAUCACCAGCAUUCCUCCUUCUCUCUGAUUCCCUUUUCCCUGCAGGCAGAGCUACUUAGGAUUUUAAAUCUGUUUACCUCUCCUUAAAUUAAUUCUUAACUUUAUGAACAAGAAGCAUAUAAAGGGGUCACUUCCUUUCCCCCUCUCUCCCCCAUUCCUUUCAGAUAUAACUGCUUUCACUUAGUUGCAAACACUUGUCACAAGGGAAGAAAUAUUUUCUACACACUCGGAAAGAUUUUAGAGACCAUCCAGUUUUGCACAACUGAUACAAUAUAAAAAUCAGCAAUAAUCAUUCAGGCAUCCAGACGAAAGUUUUAGUUUUUAUGCUAAUUAAGCAACCAUUAUCCUGGGAGGUUGAGUCACAGGGCAGCUGUUGAUAGAAUAAAAUAGGAAGGAAUGCAUUGAACACUUAGAGGUCUCUUCUUUUACAAUGAACAAGAAAGGAGGGCAUGAUAAAAUAAUAGGAACUAUGACUAUUAUUGUUUCAUCCCUCGGAUGUAGAUUUGUAUAUCCUGUUGCCAAGGUGAAGGUAAUAAUUGAAUCUAUCCUAAAUCUGAGUGCUGGAGUAGUCAGAAAUGACUCCACCUGACAGAAGAGCCAGGAGGCAAGUGAUAGAGGCUAUUGUCCAAACGUGACCCUCCAUUAACACUACCUAUCAGCAUCAGGAUCCUGUCGCUGGUUCCCAUUCCGGAGCCAAGGGGCUGCCUGGCCUAUUCCAAGCGCUUCAAGGGCUCU
rnacentral:lncRNA from 1 species